AUACGUAGGUGACAAGCGUUAUCCGGAUUUACUGGGCGUAAAGGGCGUGUAGGCGGUCCUGCAAGUCAGAAGUGAAAUUCCUGAGCUCAACUCGGGCGCUGCUUCUGAAACUGCAGGACUUGAGUGCUGGAGGGGAUAGCGGAAUUCCUAGUGGAGCGGUAAAAUGCGCAGAUAUUAGGAAGAACACCGGUGGCGAAGGCGGCUAUCUGGACAGUAACUGACGCUGAGGCGCGAAAGUGUGGGGAGCAAACAGGAUUAGAUACCCUGGUAGUCCACACUGUAAACGAUGAAUGCUAGGUGUAGGGGGUAUCGACCCCUUCUGUGCCGCAGUCAACACAAUAAGCAUUCCGCCUGGGGAGUACGGCCGCAAGGUUGAAACUCAAAUGAAUUGACGGGG
rnacentral:rRNA from 1 species